UAACCUUCGGGGUUUGGCUCUUGUCUAUGUUUCUAGGAACAGGACGUCACAGAGGGUGAGAAUCCCGUGCGAUGAGAUGCCCAAUCCUAUGUAAGGUGCUUUCGAAGAGUCGAGUUGUUUGGGAAUGCAGCUCUAAGUGGGUGGUAAAUUCCAUCUAAAGCUAAAUAUUGGCGAGAGACCGAUAGCGAACAAGUACAGUGAUGGAAAGAUGAAAAGAACUUUGAAAAGAGAGUGAAAAAGUACGUGAAAUUGUUGAAAGGGAAGGGUUUGAGAUCAGACUCGAUAUUUUGUGAGCCUUGCCUUCGUGGCGGGGUGACCCGCAGCUUAUCGGGCCAGCAUCGGUUUGGGCGGUAGGAUAAUGGCGUAGGAAUGUGACUUUGCUUCGGUGAAGUGUUAUAGCCUGCGUUGAUGCUGCCUGCCUAGACCGAGGACUGCGAUUUUAUCAAGGAUGCUGGCAUAAUGA
rnacentral:rRNA from 1 species